rnacentral:rRNA from 1 species
GAUGAACGCUAGCGGGAGGCCUAACACAUGCAAGCCGAGCGGUAGAGCUUCUUCGGAAACUUGCGAGCGGCGCACGGGUGCGUAACACGUGUGCAACCUACCUUUAUCUGGGGGAUAGCGUUUCGAAAGGAAGAUUAAUACUCCAUAAUAUAAUGAUUGGCAUCAAUUAUUAUUGAAAACUCCGGUGGAUAGAGAUGGGGACGCGCAAGAUUAGAUAGCUGGUGAGGUAACGGCGUACCAAUGCAAUGAUCUCUAGGUGAGCUGAGAGGGAGAUCCCCCACAAUGGUACUGAGACACAGACCAGACUGCUACGGGAGACAACAGUGAGGUAUGUAGGACAAUGGGGGAGAGCCGGAUCCAGCCAUCCCACGUGAAGGAGUACUGUCCUAUGAAUAGUAAGCUUCUAUUGAACAGGGAUAAACCUACCCUCGUGAGGGUAGCUGAAGGUACUGUACGAGUAAGCACCGGCUAACUCCGUG